UGGGGCGUGGCCAAGCGGCAAGGCAGGGGACUUUGGAUCCUCGAUCCCAGGUUCGAAUCCUGGCGCCCCAGUCA
rnacentral:tRNA from 1 species